rnacentral:tRNA from 1 species
GCCAUGGUGGCACAAUGGUUAAGCACUCAACUGCUAACUGAGAGGUCGUUGGUUUGAACUCAUCCAGUGGCU